GCGUGGCUUGGCCCUCCUCUCCUCCCUCUUUCCCUCUCCCGCCAUCCAUCCAUCCCUCCUUCCUUCCCUCCUUCCUUCCUUCCAGGCCUCUCCCCCGAUGCGUCCCGGCGAUGCUCCCCGCCUGGGGCGGCUCAGACCCCGCGAGGCCGAGCCCCCGAGAGGCCUCUUCUUCUCCCGGCUCUGGAGGGGCGCCUCCCUGGACACCCCACUCGCGACCCCCACCAUGAAGGCCCAGCAGGAGGAGGACGAGGAGGAGGAAGAAGAGGAGGAGGAGGAGGAGGGGGACGCCGGCAGCAGCGCACAGAGCCGCCCCCCGGCCCACGCGCAGCCAAGUAGGACUGCUUGAAGAAAAUAUAGAAUCUUUAUGAAAAUGGAAGAGUGUAGAGUUCCAACAGUGUACUUGCACAGAAGUCCAAAAGAGAUGCACAGAAGCUGAAAACUUCCUUCUUGCUACUUCUAGCCGUAGCAUGGGUGGGAGCCCAUAAGGAAAAUUACAUCAACUUGAAUGAUUACCUCUUUGGUCACCUGCAAGAAAAGAGAAAACCAUUGGUAAGAAGGCAAGCAAAUGAUCAAAGGCUAAGAUCCCGUGCAUGUUUCACUGCACAUCAAUCCCAUUUGCCUUUGAAUAGAUUCACCUCUCUUUCUCGGGGUACUUUUCCUGGGAUUCUAGAGGGGUCGAAGGCUAUAACAGCAGUCUUGUGAGUCACAUUUGGCCACGGGCCAUGUUUUACCCUCUGUCAUGAUCUCCAAUCCUUGACAUCUCUGGUCGGCUGACAAGGAACAGAUGCCAGCCAUAAAACAGGCUGGCCAUAAAACCUCAAUUACCCUCUAGUAUGUGGGAGCCCCUAUAUAUGUGGGCCAAAAGAAGGUUCUGGCAUUCGGUACAAUAAAAAUCUGUUGGAAUCUACCAGCGUGUCUUGGUGCUUUUUCCUUUGGAAGACGGACCCACAGCACAACUGAGAGAAGAGAACCCGACACCCUCCCAUGUCCUAAAUGGCCCUUGAGCAACCCUUUUUGUCACACAUUAUAGACCUGGGGGGAAAGGCACUUGUCCCACAGACCCCAUGUACCCACCCUGAAGAUCUGAAAGCAGAUGAGAAGGAAGUCCUUUCCACUCCUCCUGCUCCUGCGCCGUUCUCUCUGCAUCAAAGAAACAAGGAGGGUGCAAGUGGGGUUCGGAUAUUGUUCUCCUCUCUUCUCUUGCUUCUUCACCUCUUUCUCAUCUGGCUCCAGCAGUGAAACAUGAAAUUGAGGGUUCAUCCAAAAAGUGUCUAGAAAAUUGAAAACAUCUGCAUCUUAGAAUGAACUCUACAGCCAGUUGGAUAUCAAAGCAUCCUUAAGAUUUGCAUUGGGGAAGUUCAACAAUGAAGCAUGCUAGAUCUUUGCUUGAUUAAUUUGCAUCCCAUUGCUGAGUAGAGACAUAUUAGCAUAAUUGAGAAGUUCCUUAGGGUGCAAUGAGCUCUCUCCAAGCUUUUCUACACUACUCUUUCACGUGAGUCCAACCCCAAGCCCAAGAGAAUUACCCCAUGGUUGGAAAGUCUGGCAUCCACCAGCGGUGUAGCCUUUGAUCCAACAGCCUUGGAAGCAGUUGACGUUCCAGCAACAGUGGGAUCCCUCUUGUGUGUGGUCACCACUAAAGUGGCAGAUCUCCAAGACAUCGAAAUGACGUAUAAAAUCAACCAAUUGCAUCCUGGAAAGUGGAGACAAACAGAAGUAGUUACAUAGUGACACAUACUGGCCUUUUCUCACUCAAGCAUGAUUGAGUGUAUGUGCCUUCAAGUCACCUGUCAACUUAUGCAGAUCCUAUGCAUUUCACAGACUUUUCUUAAAAGGUAAAGGUAAAGGUUUUCUCCUGACAUUAAGUCCAGUCAUGUCCGACUCUGGGGGUUGGUGCUCAUCUCCAUUUCUAAGCCAAAGAGCCGGCAUUGUCUGUAGACACCUCUUAGGUCAUGUGGCCAGCAUGUCUGCAUGGAGCGCUGUUACCUUCCUGCAGAAGCGGUAUCUAUUGAUCUACUCACAUUUGCAUGUUUUUGAACUGCUAGGUUAGCAGAAUCUGGAGCUAACAGCAGGAGCUCACUCUGCUUCCCGGAUUUGAACUGCCAACUUUUCAGUCAGCCAGUUCAGCAGCUCAGCUGUUUAACCUGCUGCUACUUCCAUCCUCUGAAACAUAGCCUACGGCACCUGGGAUGUGCUGGCAGUCUUCCAUCAAAUUGCUAACCAGGGCUGGCCUUGCUUAGCUCCCAAGAUGGGAUCAUUGGGGUAUUUGGGUCAUCAUAUAUAAUUAGGUGCUCAAAUGAGGUGAGUGACAUGAGACUUUAUCUGAAAAUUAGGUUCAGAGUUUGGGAAAGCUACUGGCUGGAAUGGAGAGCUGAAGUACACAAAUUAACUUUUCCAAGUUGUAUUAAAGGGCAUGCAUAAGAUACUUGUAAGGGGCCCCUGGUGGCAAAGUGUGUUAAAGCGCUGAGCUGCUGAACUUGCGGACCAAAAGGUGCCAGGUUCAAAUCCCAGGAGCAGAAUGAGCGCCUGCUGUUAGCCCUAGCUCCUGCCAACCUAGCAGUUCGAAAACAUGCAGAUGUGAGUAGAUCAAUAGGUCCUCCGGCGGGAAAGUAACGGCGCUCCAUGCAGUCAUGCCGGCCACAUGACCUUGGAGGUGUCUACGGACAACGCCGGCUCUUCGGCUUAGAAAUGGAGAUGAGCACCAACCCCCAGAGUUGGUCACGACUGGACUUAUCGUCAGGGGAAAACCUUUACCUUUACCUUAUAAGAUACUUGUAAUCAUUGUAGGGAAGCACACUUCUGUGUAGCUAAGUUUUCUUUUACUGCUGAUUCCAAUUUCCUUACCAAAAUUCUCCAUCUUUCCGAUCACACACGUGAAGCUUCUUCAGGAGUUCGGGGUCCAAAGAGGACCACAGUGGUGAUCUGAAGCCAGAAAAAAACCAAGAGACACGGACAUGAAUUGUCGUGCAAUGGGAGCUUACAUAGGCAAGGCUGGUACAAUGAAGACAUUAUGAGGCACUAUAAGCACUGAAUGGUAGGAAUUUUGUCCUGCCUGUCCCCAAUUCUCCGUGGAAGCCACGAUAAUCAAACUGAGGCUGUUGUACUGUGGUCAUGUCAUGAGAAGAAAAGAUUACAAAAAACAAUAAUGCUUGGAAAAGAUGAAAACACUCAAUCAAGGAAGCCAUGGCCCUGAGUCUGUUAAGGCCCGAGACUGCUGAAAGGCUUGGAGAUGGGUAAUUCAUGGUAAUUCAUGGCACCACCCAUGUAGACAGUAGUAAACAGCAAUGACGGUGAUGGACAGUCUUCGGUAGGACUCUAGACCCCCACCCCCUUUGAGAAUAACAAGAGUGUGGAAGCUCAUCUCACCUGGAAAUGGAAGAUGCCAGCAUAUUCAGUGCCUCCGAAAUGUUGAUCUUGUGGAACCACCCGAUAAAGGAGUUCUGGGUACAGGGUAAGGGAGGCGGCUGCUGCCAAGAACCAGCAGUCACCUUUAAGAAAGAAAAAGGCAUAAGAAUGUCAUCAAAACAUAGGCUAGUGCUAGCAGCGAAACAAAAGAGGAUAGAGAAUGACAGCAAACGAACUGUUACCCAGUUGCCCCUGGCAGACAUCGGUCCGAUUCAUUCCUUUACAAAUAAAAUGUGGCGUUCCAUGUUUGCAGAUGUCCUGUAAAAAAAUUGCACAGAGCACAAUGAUUUUAUUUUGAGACUGUAGUCCCAAAAAGGAACUUUUCCAGACUUUGAUGCAGAGGGUGACAUUUUCUACUUGUUUUUUUUUUUGGGGGGGGGGGGUGCUACAAUAUCUCAUGUUUGUCCUCAGGUAGAAAUUCUAGAUGCUACAGUUUACAGCCACCCGUUGUCCUACAUUUCCUUGUUGAUCUCCAUUGUAUCCUGCAGAUAAUACUCUUUAACUAAAUAUUUACUUUUCACAACUGCCACCUGGUGAGCUUAAAGACAUGUUCCCCACAUUUAACUUCUCAAGACCUACCCAACACAAAGAGCUGGCUUCGGACAUUUGGCAGCUUGAGGCAGAAUAGCAAAUAUUGCCCUCCUACCCACCUCUCAAACUCGAAGUGCCCUUAAACAGUCAUAUUAUUUUACUGCAUAAGUUAACCCCAUGGGGAGAAAGGCAGGAUAUAAAUAAAGGUUAAUCAUAACAACAACAACAACAACAACAGGGUUGCUAUGAGUUUUCCAGACUGUAUGACCAUGUUCCAGAAGCAUUCUCUCCUGACGUUUCAUCCACAUCUAUGGCAGGCAUCCUCAGAAGUUGUGAGGCUGUUGGAAACUAGGCAAGUGAGACUUAUAUAUUUGGAAAGACCAGGUUGGGAGAAUGAACUCUUUUCUGUUUGAGGCCAGCUUGAUUAGCAUUUAAUGGCCUUGCAGAUUCAAAUCCUGGCUGCUUCCUGCCUGAGAGAAUCCUUUGUUGGGAGGUAUUAGCUGGGCCUGAUUGUUUCUUGUCUGGAAUUCCCCUGUCAUCUAAGUAUUGUUCUUUAUUUAUUGUCCAGAUUUUAGAGUGUUUAAAUACUGGUAGCCAGAUUUUGUUCAUUUUCAUGGUUUCCUCCUUUCUGUUGAAAUUGUCCACAUGCUUGUGGAUUUCAAUGGCUUCUCCCAACAAAAGAUUCCCUGAGGUAGGAAGCAGCCAGGCUUUGAAUCUACAAGGCCAUUAAAUGCUAAUCAAGCUGGCCAAUUGCAACAUGCACACUUGACUCAAACAGACCAGAGUUCUUUCUCCCAACCUGGACUUUCCACAGAUAUAAAAACCCCACUUGCCUCUGGAACAUGGCCAUACAUCCCGGAAAACUCACAGCAACCCAGUGAGUCCAGCCAUGAAAGGGGUUGUUAUAAUAAUAACAACCCCUACUCCAAUCGCUGGUAGUAUAGUUGUGACUUAUAGCAAUUUGCUAUCUUUUUUGCAACAUUACAAAUCUGCUACUUGAAGUGAGGGGGUGAAAUGUAUCUAGGACCACAUGUGGUCCUCAAGUCCAUUUCUGUGGUCUUCAUUCUACCCAGACUCUAAACUGCUUUUUUUCUGGCCAAAACUGAGGAAUCCUUCAUCCUCUGCUUAAUGCCAGUUUUCCUCCCCAAAAUUGGAGGUUGGGAUGUUUUUCUUUGACCCUUUUGGCAUUUUUCCCCCAGACCUGCUGUUGUUGCCUACCCCGCUGACACCGGAGCAAUCCUGCAUUAACUGGUAUUAUAGUGUUUACUCUUCUUGGGAUGAGCUCUUGAUAAGGAGUAAGGCAUAAGCAACACACACAUAUGUCUUAUUCCUAACCCAUGUUAAGGAGCCAGCUUGGUGAUCUGUUCACUGGAUCACAGUUUGAAUCUCAGCUCAGCCAUAAAACCCACUGGUUGUUCCUGGGCAAGUCAUACCCUCUUGGCAAAAAGGAAGGCAAUGGCGAACCUCUCCUGAAUAUAUCUUGCCUGUGAUAGGUUCACCAUAAGUCAGAAACAACUUGGAGACACACUACAACUCACCUUUGGCCUCUUCCAUACCACCCCUUGGAUAUUCACGGAGCCGGGUCCUAGUUCUUUGUACCCAAGCGACUCUGCACAAGGUUUGAAUUCGGGGUCAAGGAAGAGACGUUGCUGUUGGAGGCACUGACGUUUCAGCUCCUGAUAGUUUUGUUCAUGGUAGGGUAUAGAUCUGGCUGUUCCUUUGGAGUCAGAGUCCUUGGUGAGGCGAAUGGUGAUACUGGAACGAGACAUAGCUGAGGCCAACUGUGGCUAGAUCCAGAUAGGUGAGGAGAAUAUGCCCAGAUCAUCUGGUUCCACUUUGCUCCUCCCAUUUCUAUCAACAAACUGGAAGAGUUUUGCUUCUGGACUUAGAUGCAGGGAUGCGGAAUUUAACUCUUUGUUAGACAGUUUCUUGAAGGAGCCAGGGCUCACACAAUGGCUUUAAGCUAGUAUUUCCUAACCAUUGGUCCUCUAACGGUUUUGUACUUCAUCAUCCAUAGCCAGUAUGACCAAUGGAGACUGUGGGAUCUGAAAUCCAAAAUGCAGUUUGUAGAGGUCAAAAUUAGCUAAAGACCAACACAUAUUAUGCUUGGAAUGCAUAAUAUCUGUGUGCCUUCAAAUCAAUUGUUGAUUUAUGGUGAUCCCAUGGAUUUCAUUGGGGUUUUAGGCAAGGAAUAACCAGAAGUAUUUUGCCAUUUCCUUCCUCUGAAAUGGAAACUACAGCCCCUGGUAUUCGUUGUCAGUCUCCCAUUCAAGUACUAACCGGACAAUUGUGUUUAUCUUCCAAAAUCAGAUAGGAUCUUGGGCCUUUACAUUAUCUAGACCUCCUAUCAAAUAGAGUACUAGAGAUUAAUUUAAAAGGUUUAUACCUUUCAAAUAAUUCAGUCAUAUGCAUUAUAUAUUACAUAGAGGUGAACUAAUAUACAGGGCAAGACAAAGCAUACCCCUUGAUCAGUUGAUGGCAUGGAGGUUGCCCCAUGGUAUGGCCAUGUCAUGAUCUCCAGUCUUUGACAUCUCCGGUCAGCUGACAAAGAACAGAUGCCAGCCAUAAAACGGGCCAGUCAUAAAACCUCAGUUACCCUCUGGUAUUCGAGAGCCCCUAUAUAAGUGAGCCAAAGAGAAGGUUCUGGUAUUCGGUACAAUAAAAUCUGUUGGAAUCUACCAGCGUGUGUCUUGGUGCUUUUUCAGGUGGAAGACUGACCCACAGCACAACUGGGAGAAGAGAACCCGACAGGACACCUCCAUCAAGCAAGAAUUCAAAUCAGGGUGAAAAAUUUAUUGGGCAACUUUACGCACACACUGUUGGAUUGCAAUAGCCAUCAGGUUUGGCCAGCCCAGCCAAUUGAGAAAAAAAAUGGGUGCUGUAAUCUGACAAUAUCUGAAGGGUCACCUUGAAACAGAGCAAUCUUCAUUAAGAAUGUUUUGUGCACAAAAGUUUUAACAUAUGUGCCACCUGAAGACAACUGGCCUCUUCUCAGAGUCAAUGAAGUUUGAAAGAAGAUGAGGUCCAAUUUUAACAUGGCUGUUAGGGAGUUAAUGUGUGUGUUUACUUUAUGAUGGACACAAUAACUGUUAAUCUUUUACCUCCUUAGGAGGAAACAAUAACCAACCUGUUGCAGAGCAAAUAUACUUAGGGCUGUCAGCUGCCUGUCCGUUUGAUAUUGUGUUGAAUUAAUUAAAUAUUUUGAAUUGGG